rnacentral:rRNA from 1 species
CCUACGGGGGGCUGCAGUCGAGAAUCUUCCGCAAUGGGCGAAAGCCUGACGGAGCGACGCCGCGUGGAGGACGAAGGCCUUCGGGUUGUAAACUCCUGUCACGAGUUAAGAAGGGAAGGCAGCGAACAGCUGUCUACUUGACGUAAGCUCGAGAGGAAGCACUGGCUAACUCUGUGCCAGCAGCCGCGGUAAUACAGAGAGUGCAAACGUUGUUCGGAAUCACUGGGCUUAAAGCGCACGUAGGCGGCAUCGUAAGUGUCUGGUGAAAUCCCACG